AUUGAACGCUGGCGGCAGGCCUAACACAUGCAAGUCGAGCGGUAGAGAGAAGCUUGCUUCUCUUGAGAGCGGCGGACGGGUGAGUAAUGCCUAGGAAUCUGCCUGGAAGUGGGGGAUAACGUUCGGAAACGGACGCUAAUACCGCAUACGUCCUACGGGAGAAAGCAGGGGACCUUCGGGCCUUGCGCUAUCAGAUGAGCCUAGGUCGGAUUAGCUAGUUGGUGGGGUAAUGGCUCACCAAGGCGACGGUCCGUAACUGGUCUGAGAGGAUGAUCAGUCACACUGGAACUGAGACACGGUCCAGACUCCUACGGGAGGCAGCAGUGGGGAAUAUUGGACAAUGGGCGAAAGCCUGAUCCAGCCAUGCCGCGUGUGUGAAGAAGGUCUUCGGAUUGUAAAGCACUUUAAGUUGGGAGGAAGGGCAGUAAAUUAAUACUUUGCUGUUUUGACGUUACCGACAGAAUAAGCACCGGCUAACUCUGUG
rnacentral:rRNA from 1 species